rnacentral:rRNA from 1 species
GACGAACGCUGGCGGCGUGCCUAAUACAUGCAAGUCGAGCGGACGGACCAGGAGCUUGCUUCUCUGAUGUUAGCGGCGGACGGGUGAGUAACACGUGGAUAACCUACCUGUAAGACUGGGAUAACUUCGGGAAACCGUAGCUAAUACCGGAUAAUAUCUUGAACCGCAUGGUUCAUAGGUGAAAGACGGUCUUGCUGGCACUUAUCGAUGGAUCCGCGCGGAAUUGGCUGGUUGGUAAGGUAACGGCCUACCAGGGGAACGAUGCAUAGGCGACGUGAGAGGGGGGUGGCCCACCUGGGAGCGGGGCCAGGCUCAAGACCCCUAAGGGAGGAGCCAGAAGGGAACGUGCGGCAGAGGGGGAAAGCCUGCCGGAACAAGCCGGAGUGAGUGAUGAAGGCCUCGGGUGCGGAAAGCCCUGUUUUUAGGGAAGAACAGAUGUGUAAGUAAAUGUGGACAUAGUGACGGUACCUAAUCAGAAAGCCCCGGCUAACUACGUG